CGCUGACAUAACCUGAGGUGGUUUGUUUUAUUUUCACUUUUUUCCUGCCGUCUGCUGCUGUUGGUGAUCAGGUGAAGCAGGCAGCUGCCGGGGUGACACACAGGGGGCAGCACAAACACUUCACCUCUUGAACCCUAGAGUCCCCAAAUUUGGAACAUUUGAACACUCAUAACUAACCAAUGCUGACACCAACAUACAAGGGUUGUGAGGUAGUUUGUGGUUCAUAGCCAAGUUUGAAAGUUCGUGGUAGAGGGAAAUGG